UGUAGCAAUACAAGGCAGACGGCUCAGUAACGCGUAGUCAACCUACCCUAUAGAGGGGAAUAACCUCGGGAAACUGAGUAUAAUGCCCGAUAGAACACUAUACCUGGAAUGGUUUGUGUUUCAAAUGAUUUAUUGCCAUAGGAUGGGACUGCGGCCUAUCAGUUUGUUGGUGAGGUAAUGGCCCACCAAGACUAUUACAGGUACGGGCUCUGAGAGGAGUGGCCCGGAGAUGGGUACUGAGACACGGACCCAGGCCCUAUGGGGCGCAGCAGGCGAGAAAACUUUGCAAUGUGCGAAAGCACGACAAGGUUAAUCCGAGUGGUUUCUGCUAAAGGAACCUUUUGUUAGUCCUAGAAACACUAACGAAUAAGGGGUGGGCAAGUUCUGGUGUCAGCCGCCGCGGUAAAACCAGCACCUCAAGUGGUCAGGAUGAUUAUUGGGCCUAAAGCAUCCGUAGCCGGCUCUGUAAGUUUUCGGUUAAAUCUGUACGCUUAACGUACAGGCUGCUGGGAAUACUGCAGAGCUAGGGAGUGGGAGA
rnacentral:rRNA from 1 species